rnacentral:tRNA from 1 species
GGGGGUGUAGCUCAGUGGUAGAGCACUUUCCCAUCAUGGAUGAGGCCCUGGGUUCCAACCCCAGCUCUACAG